GGAACAUGACACCAAAACUAAGAGCCCAAUCAAGCAGGAGAGACCAGCCUCCCCUGUACCCAGCUGUGUGUCCAUGAAGAGUAACCAGUCUAUGGAUCGUCCUAUAAUGUUUAGAGAGGGAGACUUUUCUACUGAACAAAGCCCAAUCAAGCAGGAGAGACCAGCCUCCCCUGUACCCAGC